rnacentral:miRNA from 10 species
ACAGGAACCAGGUUAGCUCAUG